UAAUACGUAGGGACCAAGCGUUGUUCGGAUUUACUGGGCGUAAAGGGCGCGUAGGCGGCAUGACAAGUCACUUGUGAAAUCUCUGGGCUUAACUCAGAACGGCCAAGUGAUACUGUCGCGCUAGAGUGCAGAAAGGGCAAUCGGAAUUCUUGGUGUAGCGGUGAAAUGCGUAGAUAUCAAGAGGAACACCUGAGGCGAAGGCGGGUUGCUAGGCUGACACUGACGCUGAGGCGCGAAAGCCAGGGGAGCAAACGGGAUUAGAUACCCCGGUAGUCCUGGCCCUAAACGAUGAAUACUUGGUGUCUGGAGUUAUUAAUGCUCUGGGUGCCGUCGCUAACGUUUUAAGUAUUCCGCCUGGGGAGUACGCUCGCAAGAGUG
rnacentral:rRNA from 1 species